GGGGCGCUGGUGGCCAGGGUGUCGUCGACGCGGACGCCGUGGUCGACGUCGAUUCCGGCGGCGGCGGCCAGUUCGGUGUCGGCGCGCACCCC
rnacentral:tRNA from 1 species